rnacentral:rRNA from 1 species
GAUGAACGCUGGCGGCGUGCCUAAUACAUGCAAGUCGAGCGAACAGACGAGGAGCUUGCUCCUCUGACGUUAGCGGCGGACGGGUGAGUAACACGUGGAUAACCUACCUAUAAGACUGGGAUAACUUCGGGAAACCGGAGCUAAUACCGGAUAAUAUAUUGAACCGCAUGGUUCAAUAGUGAAAGACGGUUUUGCUGUCACUUAUAGAUGGAUCCGCGCCGCAUUAGCUAGUUGGUAAGGUAACGGCUUACCAAGGCAACGAUGCGUAGCCGACCUGAGAGGGUGAUCGGCCACACUGGAACUGAGACACGGUCCAGACUCCUACGGGAGGCAGCAGUAGGGAAUCUUACGCAAAGGGCGAAAGCCUGACGGAGCAAAGCCGCGUGAGUGAUGAAGGUCUUCGGAUCGUAAAACUCUGUUAUUAGGGAAGAACAAAUGUGUAAGUAACUAUGAACGUCUUGACGGUACCUAAUCAGAAAGCCACGGCUAACUACGUG